rnacentral:rRNA from 1 species
GGACCAAGGAGUCUAGCAUGUGCGCGAGUCAUUGGGACUAACAAAACCUAAAGGCGUAAUGAAAGUAAAAGUUUGCCUUGUGCAUACUUAGGGAAGAUGGGAAAGCGAAAGCUAACCCCGCAUUCCCGGGGCGUCCCGCACUCAUUGCGAGGUGGGGCGCACCUAGAGCGUACACGCUGGGACCC